CCUCCAUUUCUUGGCAUACAUGUAGUUGUUUAGUACUCAUGUGUGUUAUGUACGGAGGAAAAACAAAUGCAGCGCUAUGUCUUCGGUGCCGGUGUGUGUUCCAUCGUCUGCCGGUUCUAUCCUCAAUCGCUGUUACAUUC